rnacentral:lncRNA from 1 species
CGGCCCUGUGUGACGCGCACGCACCGCCCUCUCUGUCCCCGCGUGGGCCCCCAGGCACACACACUCGGGCUCGGGCUCAGGAGAAAGCGGCUGCAGGGCCGGGCAGUCGAGACCCCCCGGGGGCUGGGUGGGGACCGAGCGUGGUGCUGGCUGGGGAGCUCAGGAGCCAAGGAGCUGAGGCACUGGCAGGCCCGUGGGGACACUGAGACAAAGCGUCCCCAGCCCAGAGUGGCAGUGUGGUGACCUCCUGGGCCGGCGAAGGAGAGUCAGGGAGCUUGCUGGAGGCAGUGACGUGUGGCCUUGGCUGGGACAGUAGGAGAACACACCUCAGGAACAGGGCCCUGAGGAGCCUCUGCCCAGCAGAAGGCAUGGAGUUGUCCUGGCCCGGGGGCAGCCCUGGAAAAAGAGGAACCACUGUGACACUCCCGGAGGCCUCCUGUGUCUGUACCACUCUCAGGAGAGGAGCAGCUUGUCUCCUGGGAUGCAAAUUCAGCCAUCUCCACUUCAAGCUGUGUGACCUUGGGCUGGUGGCCAAACCUCUCUGAGUCUAGGUGUCUGCAUCCAUGUAAUGGGGAUGUAAUUCACAAGGCUGUGAUGAGAUUCCUCGGGACGAUUCAAGGAAAG